rnacentral:ribozyme from 1 species
GAGUAGUAAAGAAGAAGAAAGAGAAAAAGAAGCCAACCGUUUGCUUCUUCUCUCUGCCGACAACAACUCGGUCUUUCUUCCUACUCUUCCUACUCUUCGUCCUAUUCAUUUUUCGAUGAGUAGCGAAGAACAAGAACAAGAACAAGUACAAGCAGAAGUCAAUCGUUAUCUUCU